rnacentral:rRNA from 1 species
AACGAACGCUGGCGGCAGGCCUAACACAUGCAAGUCGAACGCUGUAGCAAUACAGAGUGGCAGACGGGUGAGUAACGCGUGGGAACAUGCCCUUCGGUUCGGAAUAACUCAGGGAAACUUGAGCUAAUACCGGAUACGCCCUUAGGGGGAAAGAUUUAUUGCCGAAGGAUUGGCCCGCGUCCGAUUAGCUAGUUGGUGAGGUAACGGCUCACCAAGGCGACGAUCGGUAGCUGGUCUGAGAGGAUGAUCAGCCACACUGGGACUGAGACACGGCCCAGACUCCUACGGGAGGCAGCAGUGGGGAAUAUUGGACAAUGGGCGCAAGCUUGAUCCAGCCAUGCCGCGUGAGUGAUGAAGGCCCUAGGGUUGUAAAGCUCUUUCGCCAGGGACGAUAAUGACGGUACCUGGAUAAGAAGCCCCGGCUAACUUCGUGCCAGCAGCCGCAGUAACAC